rnacentral:rRNA from 1 species
CCUACGGGUGGCAGCAGUGGGGAAUAUUGGACAAUGUGCGAAAGCCUGAUCCAGCCAUGCCGCGUGUGUGAAGAAGGCCUUCGGGUUGUAAAGCACUUUCAGUGGGGAAGAAAGCCUUGGGGCUAAUACCCUCGAGGAAGGACAUCACCCACAGAAGAAGCACCGGCUAACUCCGUGCCAGCAGCCGCGGUAAUACGGAGGGUGCGAGCGUUAAUCGGAAUUACUGGGCGUAAAGCGCGCGUAGGCGGUCUGAUAAGCCGGUUGUGAAAGCCCCGGGCUCAACCUGGGAACGGCAUCCGGAACUGUCAGGCUAGAGUGCAGGAGAGGAAGGUAGAAUUCCCGGUGUAGCGGUGAAAUGCGUAGAGAUCGGGAGGAAUACCAGUGGCGAAGGCGGCCUUCUGGACUGACACUGACGCUGAGGUGCGAAAGCGUGGGUAGCAAACAGGAUUAGAUACCCCAGUAGUC